AUUGAACGCUGGCGGCAGGCCUAACACAUGCAAGUCGAGCGGAUGAGAGAAGCUUGCUUCUCGAUUCAGCGGCGGACGGGUGAGUAAUGCCUAGGAAUCUGCCUGGUAGUGGGGGACAACGUUUCGAAAGGAACGCUAAUACCGCAUACGUCCUACGGGAGAAAGCAGGGGACCUUCGGGCCUUGCGCUAUCAGAUGAGCCUAGGUCGGAUUAGCUAGUUGGUGAGGUAAUGGCCCACCAAGGCGACGAUCCGUAACUGGUCUGAGAGGAUGAUCAGUCACACUGGAACUGAGACACGGUCCAGACUCCUACGGGAGGCAGCAGUGGGGAAUAUUGGACAAUGGGCGAAAGCCUGAUCCAGCCAUGCCGCGUGUGUGAAGAAGGUCUUCGGAUUGUAAAGCACUUUAAGUUGGGAGGAAGGGUUGUAGAUUAAUACUCUGCAAUUUUGACAUUACCGACAGAAUAAGCACCGGCUAACUCUGUGCCAGCCGCCGCAGUAAGAC
rnacentral:rRNA from 1 species